UACGAAGGGUGCAAGCGUUACUCGGAAUUACUGGGCGUAAAGGGUGCGUAGGUGGUCGUUUAAGUCCGUUGUGAAAUCCCUGGGCUCAACCUGGGAAUGGCAGUGGAUACUGGACGGCUAGAAUGCGGUAGAGGGUAGUGGAAUUCCCGGUGUAGCAGUGAAAUGCGUAGAGAUCGGGAGGAACACCAGUGGCGAAGGCGGCUACCUGGACCAGCAUUGACACUCAAGCACGAAAGCGUGGGGAGCGAACAGG
rnacentral:rRNA from 1 species